UUUUUAUGAAUGGAGGGCAGGCGGCAGCUGCGCAUGCACCGCGCCCCCCGCCCGGGGCUGGAGGCAGAUCCAAUAACGUACUGUGGCAAUCCCAAAGCACGUGGCACAGAUGCUAUCUAUUGUAGCAAAUAGUUAGCAUCAUGUUUGAACCAUCCCUCUUCGGACGAAAAAGCCUCUUCCUCACAUGUUGGAUUGGGGUUUUCACGAGAAAAACCUGCCCGUCCCCCUCCUGCCUGGCUGCUCGUGGCUGAGGACUCGGUUUUCUGCCAAGGGGGAGAUACUUAUUCUGUACCGGCUGGGAAGUGCGGGGCCUGACAGAAGAGCUGUUCCACUCUUGGGGAAGGACUUCAAUGAGACAUGAUGUCCAUAUGUUUGUCUAAUGCUCUUUCAACAGGUCUGAGGGGUGGUAGUGUUUCCUCAUCUGACUGCUUGUCCAGAGUUCAUAGAGUCAACGUGUGUGGUGUUCCUGCAGCAACACUCAGUCCUCGUCCUGCCCAGCAGCAGGGCAUCGAAGGAUUUGAGCUGCGAUCUCCGAGCAGCCGCAAACUCCCUGCUUUAACCCAGCUCAUUUCCACGCUAGACACAACUCGCUCA